UACGUAGGGGGCUAGCGUUGUCCGGAUUUAUUGGGCGUAAAGAGCGUGUAGGCGGCCAAGUAGGUCCGUUGUGAAAACUGGAGGCUUAACCUCCAGCUGUCGAUGGAAACCAUUUGGCUAGAGUCCGGAAGAGGAGAGUGGAAUUCCUGGUGUAGCGGUGAAAUGCGCAGAUAUCGGGAGGAACACCGGUGGCGAAGGCGGCCCCCUGGUUGGAUACUGACGCUGAUACGCGAAAAGCGUGGGGGAGCAAACAGG
rnacentral:rRNA from 1 species